AAUCACUGCGUCGUGUGUCAAAAUGAAUUUUAUCAAAUAUCAGUCAAAGAAUAUGAAUUAUUGUGAAGCGCAGCUCGAGUAUUAUUGGUAUUAUUACAUCAUUAAGUAUCAGAAUCUUAUAUCAUUGCAGCGGCAUUCUCAACGUGAACAAAGCGAUUACAGCAACCACUGCGUUGGGUGUCAAACUGAAAAUUUCAUUUUAUCAUCAUCAUCAGUUUGGAUGCGGGUUUUUUUAGGAUUGAAUCCAGUAGCCGUCCCGAUCAGGUGCACAAUUCGGAGGAAACCUGCGGUUUCCUAGAGAAUUCGUACUUCAUCGAAAAGGACAACGAAGUUGACGGUUCAGGCAAGUACUUCGUUUCAGGUUAAAAGCAUGAUCAAUUCAAUUACGGAAGGACUACCCAGUUUUGGCAUACCGGAAGGAGAUGGCAGUAAUUUGUUGGCCUCAUCAUCGCUGGAAGCAGAAAAAUUUUCUACAUCACCAUGACGACGGUUGUUCACCGUCUUGGGCAAGCGAUGUCUUUUCACAGAGCUUUAGCAACCUAUCCACCUUUCAGCCAAUUGUUCCACCCGUGUCACCGGCGGACCCCGUUCCGAUAUCACCCUCUUCGCUCGUUUCCAGCCCAAAGCCUCAAAUAGCAUCUUUGUCGAAGAUGACUUAAUUUCUAAACUAUAAUUAACGAAAAUAAAUCUAUGUUUAAAAGUUGGGUGGUAAGCAAAUUGUUUCGUAAAGAAGAAUCGUUUGCUGGUGGUGGUCAUGUGUCCUCACCUAUGUGCCCCACCGUAGAGCCGGAGAGCGAAGACUGUGAUAAUAUUAGGAAUAAUGAAAAUAGUUCUAUGUGUAUUAGAGCAGAGCGGCGAUACUAAAGAUGGCUAUCAGCAGUGACCGCAGUGACCAAUCGUAAUUGUAACCCCGAGACCGAACAGUCACACAUUAGAUGUUUAGGCCUGUUCUAUUCGUGGAAGUGUAUACUUGCGUGAACGCGAAGGUUCGAAAUCGCUCAGUGUUGGAGGAGAAAAAAGUGGCGAUCGGCGUACCAGUCAUAAUUUCGUGUUGAUAUGAUAUGAUAUGAUGAUAUGAUCGACAUAUGGUCGUAUAUUCCUAAACUCGAAGUGAUAUUUCGCCGUUCGCGAUACGGAAGCUAUCGGUCGCAGAGCGAGAAAAUUUUCUUUGGUGACGGAUGCGUUUGCGGGAAGACCUUGAAGUUUGACAAUAGCAGUUAACAGUAGAAACAGUUCUCUUCAUCAACCUGGUAGGUUACUGGGCGAUGGAGCCAGGCUGUGUCCUUCGACGUUGUUACGCUACAUUCGGGAUGUGGGAUGCGGUCGGAGGAACUUGGCGAAUCGAAUAUCGGACUGGAUGGACAUCGGAAAUCUGGCGAAGCGCGGCCAGAACCUGCUGCACACGACCCUCGGAAACGUUUGCGGACAUGGUCAUAAGGAACGUGAUCAGGCUCAGACAUAAUAAUCGAUGUACGGUCUUAUAUUUCGCAAAGUCGAAGUGAUAUUCGCGCGAUCCGGAAGCUACCGGUCGCAGUGCGAAAAAGCAUCUUUGGUGACGGAUGCAUUUACGGGAAGACCUCGAAGUUCGACAAUAGCAGUUAACAGUAGAAACAGUUCCUGUUGUCAACCUGGUAGGUAACGGUGUGAUAGAGCCAGUCUGUGUCCUUCGGCAACGUCUCGAAAAGAUUCAGGCAUUCGGUCGAACAGUCGGCGAUCGAGCAUACAACAUCAAAUCAUGCUGAUGAAUCAAAGUGCGGCACUGUCCGCCCAUCGGAUGUCCGGUUAUUUUACUAGUUCUCAAUCUAGUCUGUCCACAGUAGUCGGUGCUGCGGUCUCCACCUGCACGGAACCAGUAAUGGCGGUGAAAUCGAACGGAGAUGUAAAUGAUGUGUGUAAUCAAGGAACACCAUCCUGAUCCGCUGGCAGCAUGUCUUCAGCAGUUGCGCAAGCAGUUGGAUCUUCAACUGAUUCGUUGUGUACGCGAUAAUGCACGCGGUCAGCGAAGUUAUCUCGUUAAACCACCACUUCUCCCAGUAUCGCUUCGGUUCAAAUCUCGACAAAUGGAGCACGAGUUUCGGUCGAAAGCUCAUCGCUUCGGAAAUGAGUCUGAGUUGGAGGGCAGUCCUCCAACACCUGCCACUCCCAAGUACAACACCUACAUAGACAUUCUCGUUUCCUUCCUGGUCUAUCUGGCAACUUCUACUUCCUUGUUUCUUCUGUCCUUCGGCAUACUUGGAAUCGUAUAAAGUAUGGGUUUGUAUCUUUGUUGCCUUCAGUACGGUCCAACUGUUUGCUCUAUUUAUUUGCACUAAGCCGGUCUGUCGGAGGGCACAUAAACCGGCCCGCACAUCGCGGACAGCCGUCAACCGAAGCUGCUAUGACACAAUCCUCCGGCUCAACUGGUACCCGUGGCACAUUUUUGGAGGAAUUCUUAUGUCUCUUCCUGUUCGGAUAAGAACGUUGAAGUCAAAUUUUCGCAGCAGUGUUUUUGUAGCACAGCUCAAACUAAAAUUAUAAUUUAUUCAAAUUAGUUUAAACAAAGGUUUAGUUAAAUUAAGUUAUUUGUAUCAUUUUUGGUUGCAAUGUAUUUUUUUCCUACUCACAAUAAAUAGUUUCGCCGUAUCUUUUUUCCUUCGUGCACCCACAAUUUCAGUCUAUUGGUUCGAAAUCUAUCUCUCUUUGCUCGCUCGUAUUUUCCUCUUUGCUCGCUCGUAUUUUCCUGUUGCCGAAUCCUAUUUGUUCAGUAUACUUAUUAUUAUUAAUUAUUCUACUGUUUUUUAAAUUACUUACGAUUAAUUUUAUUUAUUACAUUAAUCUCUUCCUUUUUCUAGGUUAUUUCAUAGGUGCCGCGGAUCAUACAGAUGUUAGUUCGAAUGUUAAACAGUUUUAACCAGAAUCACCUUGUUUCCACUAAUUUUAAUUCUUUAAUUUUCCUUUCACCGAAAUAAUUUUAAUGCUAACUCCAAUAUUUAUUACUUUUUCCUUAGCAAAUUUAAUCCGAUAAAGUAUUAAAGGCUAUCCACACUUCA